GUGCUCGCUUGGACAGCAUAUGGACUAAAAUUGGAACGAUACAGAGAAGAUUGGCAUGGCCCCUCUGCAAGGAUAACACACAAGUUUGUGAAGCAUUCUACUCCUUU
ensembl:snRNA U6 U6 spliceosomal RNA